UGCCCUAGUAACGGCGAGUGAAGCGGCAACAGCUCAAAUUUGAAAUCUGGCCUUCUGGUCCGAGUUGUAAUUUGUAGAGGAUGCUUUUGGCGCGGUGCCUUCCGAGUUCCCUGGAACGGGACGCCUUAGAGGGUGAGAGCCCCGUACGGUUGGACACCAAGCCUCUGUAAAGCUCCUUCGACGAGUCGAGUAGUUUGGGAAUGCUGCUCUAAAUGGGAGGUAAAUUUCUUCUAAAGCUAAAUACCGGCCAGAGACCGAUAGCGCACAAGUAGAGUGAUCGAAAGAUGAAAAGCACUUUGAAAAGAGGGUUAAAUAGCACGUGAAAUUGUUGAAAGGGAAGCGUUUACGACCAGACCUUUUCCUGGCGGAUCAUCCGGCGUUCUCGCCGGUGCACUUCGUCAGGUUUAGGCCAGCAUCGGUUUUCGUAGGGGGAUAAAAGCCUGGGGAACGUGGCUCUCUUCGGGGAGUGUUAUAGCCCCUAGCAUAAUACCCUUACGGGGACCGAGGACCGCGCUUUGCAAGGAUGCUGGCAUAAUGGUCGUCAACGACCCGUCUUGAAACACGGACCAAGGAGUCGAACAUUUGUGCGAGUGUUUGGGUGUUAAACCCUCACGCGUAAUGAAGGUGAACGGAGGUGAGAGCCCUUACGGGUGCAUCAUCGACCGAUCCUGAUGUCUUCGGAUGGAUUUGAGUAAGAGCAUAACUGUUCGGACCCGAAAGAUGGUGAACUAUGCGUGGAUAGGGUGAAGCCAGAGGAAACUCUGGUGGAGGCUCGCAGCGGUUCUGACGUGCAAAUCGAUCGUCAAAUCUGCGCAUGGGGGCGAAAGACUAAUCGAACCAUUAAAACCAGCGGUAAAUCUUGAUUUACUAGGUGGUUAAGAGGUCUCCCGGAAGGAGACCUAGGCCGGCCUACCCUGUAGUGGUGGCGGAAGUUACCCUGUAACGCCGCCCGACCUACCCGGUAGACGUCGGCCGACACCGCUAAAUUGCGGGGACAUCCUGUAAAGGCCACGGGCUACCGCCGGGCGCUGAAAAGCGUUGCGGCACCAAGAAUAGCGAUCUUGGGUAUGGUAAUAACGCCUGUGGUACCGGACGACCUGCAGCCAACCCCGCAUACCAGGGGCGAGUUCACAGACUAGACAGCGGUGGGUGCUACCCUGUAGUGCUUAAGAUAUAGUCGACCUAGGUCCUGAAAAGGAGCCUACCCUAUAGGGCUUACACUGUAGGACCUACCCGGGAGGACUUACCCGGUAAGAGCUACCCCGUAGAACUUACCCUGUAAGACUUACCCGGGAGGACCUACCCUGUAAGACCUACCCUAUAGAAAAGCGU
rnacentral:rRNA from 1 species